rnacentral:rRNA from 1 species
CCUACAGGGGGCAGCAGUGGGGAAUAUUGGACAAUGGGGGGAACCCUGAUCCAGCCAUGCCGCGUGUGUGAAGAAGGCCCUCGGGUUGUAAAGCACUUUCAGUGAGGAAGAACGCCUGGUGGUUAAUACCCAUCAGGAAAGACAUCACUCACAGAAGAAGCACCGGCUAACUCCGUGCCAGCAGCCGCGGUAAUACGGAGGGUGCGAGCGUUAAUCGGAAUUACUGGGCGUAAAGCGCGCGUAGGUGGCUUGAUAAGCCGGUUGUGAAAGCCCCGGGCUCAACCUGGGAACGGCAUCCGGAACUGUCAAGCUAGAGUGCAGGAGAGGAAGGUAGAAUUCCCGGUGUAGCGGUGAAAUGCGUAGAGAUCGGGAGGAAUACCAGUGGCGAAGGCGGCCUUCUGGACUGACACUGACACUGAGGUGCGAAAGCGUGGGUAGCAAACAGGAUUAGAUACCCGUGUAGUC